GCCGGGUUUGGUGGCGCAAGCCUGUGAUUCCAGCAGCUCGGGAGGUUAAGGCAGGAGGAUGGUAAGUUUGAGGCCAGCCUGGGAACUUAGCAAGACCCUGUUUCAA
rnacentral:sRNA from 1 species